GCGGGCGGCGUAACGUCAUGAUUAAUAAGAGUUUAUGGUCGUCUAUCUGGAUUUAGGUUCCAGUGGCGCAAGCUGUGAGAGUUCGAGUCUCUCCGUCCGCACCA
rnacentral:tRNA from 1 species